rnacentral:misc_RNA from 1 species
GAAAGAGAAGUAUAGGAAUGAAAGAGGGAGAUAGAGAGAGAAAGAAGGAGAGAAAGAGGAAAGAAAACGAGAAAGAGAGUGAGAGACAAAGAGAGAAAAGAGAGAGAGAGAGAGAAAAUGGAAUUUCUCUAUUUCACAUGUCCUCACUUUCUUCAUUACAGAUUAAUAAACCUAUUGAUGGAUUGGGAACAACUCCUUUAAUCUUUGCCUGUAGAGAGGGCGCCGAUAGAAGAAUCAUCGAAAUAUUGAUAAAAGCUGGUCCGGAGUUAGGAGCGAAAGACAACUGGGGUGGUUGUACAGCUUUGCAUUGGGCUGUGUGGAGGAAGCACCUUCAAGCUGUGGAGCUAUUACUCUCUCGGGGCAGCAAUGUCAACGAGAAGAUCAACUGCGGAUAUACUCCUCUGCAUUUGGCUGCAAGUUCAUCUCCGGAAUGGACAGAUGGUGUGAAAGCUAUAAUGAAACAGCAAGCUGUUGAGGUUAAUCCUCGAGAUGUAAAUGGUCAAACGCCGCUGCACUUGGCCUGUUCGCAGGGAUACUUUCACACUGUCGAUCUUUUGUUGGGUCACAAUGGCAUCGAUGCCAAUGUGGUUGCCAACAAUGGAGACACACCACUGCAUAAGGCAGUUCGGGGGAAGCACCUUCAAGCUGUGGAGCUAUUACUCUCUCGGGGCAGCAAUGUCAACGAGAAGAUCAACUGCGGAUAUACUCCUCUCCAUUUGGCUGCAAGUUCAUCUCCGGAAUGGACAGAGGGUGUGAAAGCUAUAAUGAAACAGCAAGCUGUUGAGGUUAAUCCUCGAGAUGUAAAUGGUCAAACACCGCUGCAAGGCCUGUGAUCGGGGAUACUUGCACACUGUCGAUUUUGUUGGGUCACAAUGGCAUCGAUGCCAAUGUGGUUGCCAACGAUGGAGACACACCACUGCAUGUGGCAGUUCAGCAGCGAAACUAUAAAGUGGUGUGUGCGAUGUUGAAGCAGGGUUCAGUUCAGUUGGAUAUUCAAAACAAUCAGAAAAGGACACCAUUGCUUGAAGCCGUUUCCCAGGGUCACCUCGGCAUGACACACCUGUUAAUAGCCCUGGGU